rnacentral:lncRNA from 1 species
CAUGUGACAACCAUCUCACAAUAUUAAAGGACAUAUAAACUAAAAUACAAAAAAACAACAUCACUUCUGUUUAGAACAUCUAUCUUUGUGCAUACACAAAUAAUACAUGGUGAUCAGACUAAAACAUUACUUAUUUCAUUACAAUGUUUGUCUAUGACUUCAAUAUAAUUUUCAUAAUUAUGUUCAUGAUUGCUUAAAAGCUUCAGCAAACUUGAUUGUUAGUUGUAAAUUUUUUUACUGUUUUUAUCUACAAACAUAA